rnacentral:rRNA from 1 species
AUGAACGCUGGCGGCGUGCCUAAUACAUGCAAGUCGAGCGAACAGACGAGGAGCUUGCUCCUCUGACGUUAGCGGCGGACGGGUGAGUAACACGUGGAUAACCUACCUAUAAGACUGGGAUAACUUCGGGAAACCGGAGCUAAUGCCGGAUAAUAUAUUGAACCGCAUGGUUCAAUAGUGGAAGACGGUUUUGCUGUCACUUAUAGAUGGAUCCGCGCCGCAUUAGCUAGUUGGUAAGGUAACGGCUUACCAAGGCAACGAUGCGUAGCCGACCUGAGAGGGUGAUCGGCCACACUGGAACUGAGACACGGUCCAGACUCCUACGGGAGGCAGCAGUAGGGAAUCUUCCGCAAUGGGCGAAAGCUUGACGGAGCAACGCCGCGUGAGUGAUGAAGGUCUUCGGAUCGUAAAACUCUGUUAUUAGGGAAGAACAAAUGUGUAAGUAACUAUGCACGUCUUGACGGUACCUAAUCAGAAAGCCACGGCUAACUACGUG